UGGGCCGAAGGCAAGAUGCUCAACCACUGAGCCAACCAGGGAUUCCCAGUGACAUCUGUGCAGGAUGCAUGUUGAAGAUGAUGAUGAGCUAAAGUCAAGGAGCACCACCCAACCCAUAUCAACCAUUCACAUCUAUCAGGACCACACAUCUACGUUGAAGGCAAGGAACUGGGAAUAGUUUCUUCUUCUUUCCUGUUAUGUGUGCACCUCCCUUCAUUCCAAGUUGUAGUAUGCAGUAAAAUGACCAGAAAGGAGAAAAAGGAGGUUAUGGGACUGCUUAAAUCAUUGAACAACAGGAUCACUGACUGUGUCCAAAAAGGUCUCAGCCACGCCAAGCAGUGGAAAAGGUGAAAUGUUAACAUGAAUGCAGUAAAUAUUCAGUCCCUAUUUGGAGGAUCUUGGGGAAAAAGGAGAGUGUUGUGUUGGGAAUGACUGGCAGGUAAAUGUCUUCAGGGGCCUACCACAUCACAGAAGACUAUGUCUGGAGGAGAAGGUAUGCCUGACAUCCUUUCCAAUAAAAACCCUGGGAAAAACAUCCGUCAAGUGAUAUUUAGAACUGACAUUUUCAUAAGGAUCCAGUCUAUAGAGGGUUUUUGCAGGGCUUGGAAAACCACGUUUUUCAUUCUUUCUUCUCCUCAUCUUCUGUAAUUAAACAGAGUUUACAGUGUUAAAUGUAUAUUUAAAAAUGACAUGCUUUAAGGACUACAUUUUAGAAAGCUUUUUAUUUGGGAAUAAUUUUGACAAUAAUAAUGAUCAUUUCAAAAAGUAAUAUUUAUUUCCUGAACCUUUUGAGAGUAAGUUAGGUGCACAUCUCAUGGCUCUUUAUUCCUAAAUGUUUCCUAUUUCUUCCUAAAGGUACCACAAGCUGGGGUCUUAGACACAGAGGGAGGCUCAAUAUCUGGCACUGAGUUUUGGGAAAUGGAAGCCCAGAUUCUCCAUUUAUUCUCCAGCAAUUAGGAUAUUCCUGAAGAGGCAUGUUGGCUGAAAGAUGCUCACAUAGAAUGACAUAGAGAGAUGUCACCUUCAUUGCCAGAGGCACUGCUCUGUCUAAUGUUUUCACAUUCUGCUUGGAUGAAGAAAUAGAAGGGACAUUUGCCCUAGUGUUCAGGGAUCCUUAUUGGGCAGAGGUGGCUAACACAGUCUCCAGGUCAGAAAAGAUCUUGAUAACCUGGACCUUUACUGGAUUGAAUAUAGCAUGUACAUUAUAGGGGUGCCUGGAUGGCUCAGUCAGUUAAGCAUCUGCCUUUGCCUCAGAUCACAAUCUCGGGGUCUUGGGAUCGAGCCUCGUGUUGGGCUUUCUACUCAGCAGGGAGUCUGCUUCUCCCUCUCACUCUGUGCUCUCUCCUCCCUAUUUUGAGUAAAUAAAAAAAUCUGUAAAAAAAAAAUAAAGUGUACAUUAUAGAAGCACAAAAUUACUACUGUAUUAUUUCCUUGGUUCUAAGAGACUUUUCACUACCUUUUCUUGUUUCUGAACUUUAGAUGCCCCUAAAAUCUAUGUCAAAGGCAACUAACAGUGUAAUAGUUAAGGGAGUUGUAAAUAGAAAGCCUACCUGCACGGAAGUGCAGGUCCAAUUGAUUUUGCCACCUAGAUUUUCUCCACCAUUGGUUGCAACAUACAGGAAUACGUUUCUUUCGAGGUAUACGUACACUAAGGUGUAUCCUUCUUAUUGUGCCGUUCUAGGAGUUUCAACAAAUACAAUCAUGUGACUGAUACCAAAAUCAACACACAGAACAGCUACAUCCCUAAAAGUUUCUCUUGUAGCAAACCUUUAUAGCCAAAUCUCUCCCAUGCACUUUGUUUUGUAUCCAGUUAGUUUGGUCUUUUCCAGAAUGCCAUAGAAAUGCAAAAUAUAAAUAUUUAAUUAUAUUGUAUAUAGACUUCCUGAGUCUGGAUUCUUUUACUUAGGGAAUGCAUGUGAAAUUAACCCAUACUGUUGUAUGUAUUAAUAGUCUGCUCCUUUUUAUUGCUGAGUUGUAUUCCGUUGCACAGACAUCUUGUACAAUGUUCACCUGUUCAACAUUUAGUGGACAUGUAUCCUAAUUUCAGGUUUUGGUUAUUAUGAAUAAAACCAUUAUCAACAUUCACGUCCAA